rnacentral:rRNA from 1 species
UCUUGAGUAUGGAUGAAGCAGGCGGAAUGCGUGGUGUAGCGGUGAAAUGCUUAGAGAUCACGCAGAACUCCGAUUGCGAAGGCAGCUUGCUAAGGCAUAACUGACGCUGAAGCACGAAAGCGUGGGUAUCAAACAGGAUUAGAUACCCUGGUAGUCCACGCCGUAAACGAUGAUUACUAGGAGUUUGCGAUAAACAGUAAGCUCUACAGCGAAAGCGUUAAGUAAUCCACCUGGGGAGUACGCCGGCAACGGUGAAACUCAAAGGAAUUGACGGGGGCCCGCACAAGCGGAGGAACAUGUGGUUUAAUUCGAUGAUACGCGAGGAACCUUACCCGGGAUUGAAA